UGAAACAUUAUGAAAUUAGAGAAACUUUCGGUUAGUAUCUUUUCCCAAGGAUAUGUGGCAUGCAGACUGAGAGCUGCCAGCACGCAACCACCAACUUUCCAAUUAGUAGAAUUUGGCAUAUCGCCAUAAAGAUUCAUUAUAAAAAUACUGUAUGACAUAUAUUACAAAGAAGUGCAGUUUAUACAAUAUUUGUGGUUGCCUGCGUGUGUUUUCCAGAAUCCAUUCUGUGGUCAAACUUCAUUACAUUGUGCCCUAAGUUCUUGGAAAUAAUAGAUUUAUGUAUCAACUUCCUUGUAUGGAUGCUGACAAAGUCAGAGUCUCAAGACAGGCCAAAAAAUUUUCAUCAGAGUCUGAGGCAAAUUUUCAAUUGGAGCUUGGAAUUUGCCCCUCAGCAUGCAAUAUUGUGCAUCCCUGACCAAUUGACACAGAUGACCUGUUUUAUUUAAGAAUUUCACUUGAUAAUUCACAGUUAGACAUUGUCAGACCACAGGUCUGCUUGUCUUGAAGAAGAACUCACUUGUUAGCUAGCUCUUAACUUAGGCUAGUAACUUGAUUCUGUUCAUCUGGACGUAGUGUUUUCAGUGGGAGAAAUGUUUCAUCACUUAUCUACAGCUUCUCUCCUCCUGUUUUCCCUCCAGAACCCCAUUCCCUUACAGAGACUGUUUGGUCAUAACUCAUAAGCUGGGGAGGAAAUGGUUUCUCAUUAACUCAGAAGAUCAUCAUUUAUCCUGGAAAAAUAGUUUGUUGCUCUAUAAAAAAGUUCUCACUUCUAAAAAGCUAAAGGAGGGAGGAAAGAGGAAGGAGAAGAGUAAUAAAAGAUGGCGCCUGUGUGUGCGGCUCGCCGUCAGCUGUUACCUGUUUUGAUUCCACUAACCUUGCUUAUAUCUGUUUUUCUCAACAAUGUCUUUACUCUUUUUGUGUAUGAUUUCCGAUUGCUAUUAACCAUCCGAGCCACUGUUGAUGAGCAGUAUCAUAUGGCCCCAGGAGGCGAGGAUUACCGAGUCCCACCUGUGGUACAAACCGUACCACUGUUUCUCCGCUGUUAUCCACCUAGCCUUCCCCUUGGGAAGAAAUCCUACACAAGACGAGGGAAACAGGGUGGAAUACUGUUUACUGGUGAAGAGGGAAGACGAGGGAAUCCAGGGAUCAAGAGUGGUGGAGUGGAGGCAGGCAGGUGA
rnacentral:lncRNA from 1 species